UCAACUCAAUUUUGUAUGGAGUUUGGAACGUUUGCCUGCGUUUGCCGCUAGGGGCGCUGUUCCAACUCCAUACAAAUUUGAGUUA
rnacentral:pre_miRNA from 1 species